rnacentral:misc_RNA from 2 species
AACGCACAUUGCGCCCCCUGGUAUUCCGGGGGGCAUGCCUGUUCGAGCGUCAUUACACCAAUCAAGCAUCGCUUGGUAUUAGGCCCUCGCCCCCGCCUCGCGGGGGCGUGCCUCAAACACCUCGGCGGAGCCACACCGGCUUUGGGCGUAGUAGAAUUUUCGAACGCCCGUGGGACGGUGAGGGUCUUGCCGCGCAAGCAAACAAUAUUUUAAAGGUUGACCUCGGAUCAGGUAGGGAUACCCGCUGAACUUAA